UACGUAGGGGGCAAGCGUUGUCCGGAUUUAUUGGGCGUAAAGAGCGUGUAGGCGGUUAGGUAGGUCCGUUGUGAAAACUCGAGGCUCAACCUCGAGACGCCGAUGGAAACCAUCUGACUAGGGUCCGGAAGAGGAGAGUGGAAUUCCUGGUGUAGCGGUGAAAUGCGCAGAUAUCAGGAGGAACACCGAUGGCGAAGGCAGGCCUCUGGGCCACUACUGACGCUGAGAAGCGAAAGCAUGGGGAGCGAACAGG
rnacentral:rRNA from 1 species